UACGUAGGCAGCGAGCGUUGUUCGGAUUUACUGGGCGUAAAGGGCGCGUAGGCGGCAAUUCAAGUCAUCUGUGAAAUCUCCGGGCUUAACUCGGAAUGGUCAGGUGAUACUGCUUUGCUAGAGUGCAGAAGGGGCAAUCGGAAUUCUUGGUGUAGCGGUGAAAUGCGUAGAUAUCAAGAGGAACACCUGAGGUGAAGACGGGUUGCUGGGGCUGACACUGACGCUGGAGGCGCGGAAAAGCUAGGGGGAGCAAAACGGGG
rnacentral:rRNA from 1 species